rnacentral:tRNA from 1 species
GAGGUUGUGGCUUAGUGGUAGAGUGCUUGCCUAGCAUGCAUGAGGUACUGGGUUCGAUCCUCAACACCACA